rnacentral:rRNA from 1 species
AACGUAGGAGACAAACGUUAUCCGGAGUUACUGGGCGUAAAGGGCGUGUAGGUGGUUUUGUAAGUCUGGCGUGAAAUUUUUCGGCUUAACCGGGAAAGGUCGUCGGAUACUGCAAGGCUAGAGGACGGUAGAGGCGUGUGGAAUUCCGGGUGUAGUGGUGAAAUGCGUAGAGAUCGGGAGGAACACCAGUGGCGAAGGCGGCUACCUGGACCAGCACUGACACUCAGGCACGAAAGCGUGGGGAGCAAACAGG